GAUGAACGCUGGCGGCGUGCUUAACACAUGCAAGUCGAACGGUGCAAGAGAGCUUGCUCUCUGGAUCAGUGGCGAACGGGUGAGUAACACGUGAGCAAUCUGCCCCUGACUCUGGGAUAAGCGCUGGAAACGGCGUCUAAUACCGGAUACGAGCUGCGAAGGCAUCUUCAGCAGCUGGAAAGAACUUCGGUCAGGGAUGAGCUCGCGGCCUAUCAGCUAGUUGGUGAGGUAACGGCUCACCAAGGCGUCGACGGGUAGCCGGCCUGAGAGGGUGACCGGCCACACUGGGACUGAGACACGGCCCAGACUCCUACGGGAGGCAGCAGUGGGGAAUAUUGCACAAUGGGCGAAAGCCUGAUGCAGCAACGCCGCGUGAGGGACGACGGCCUUCGGGUUGUAAACCUCUUUUAGCAGGGAAGAAGCGAAAGUGGCGGUACCUGCAGAAAAAGCACCGGCUAACUACGUG
rnacentral:rRNA from 1 species